rnacentral:rRNA from 1 species
GACGAACGCUGGCGGCGUGCUUAACACAUGCAAGUCGAACGGAAAGGCCCUGCUUUUGUGGGGUGCUCGAGUGGCGAACGGGUGAGUAACACGUGAGUAACCUGCCCUUGACUUUGGGAUAACUUCAGGAAACUGGGGCUAAUACCGGAUAGGAGCUCCUGCUGCAUGGUGGGGGUUGGAAAGUUUCGGCGGUUGGGGAUGGACUCGCGGCUUAUCAGCGUGUUGGUGGGGUAGUGGCUUACCAAGGCUUUGACGGGUAGCCGGCCUGAGAGGGUGACCGGCCACAUUGGGCCUGAGAUUCGGCCCAGACUCCUACGGGGGGCAGCGGUGGUGAAUAUUGCACAAUGGGCGGAAGCCUGCUGCAGCAACGCCGCGUGCGGGAUGACGGCCUUCGGGUUGUAAACCGCUUUCGCCUGUGACGAAGCGUGAGUGACGGUAAUGGGUAAAGGAGCACGGGCUAACUACGUG